CCCGCAUGAUGGCUGCACCUGUCAGCUGCAAGGAGCUUCCUUUAAGGAUCUUCUGAGUCUUGUGGGUAAACUCCAGGAGUUGGUGAU
ensembl:misc_RNA